rnacentral:rRNA from 1 species
GGGGGCUAGCGUUGCUCGGAAUUACUGGGCGUAAAGGGAGCGUAGGCGGACAUUUAAGUCAGGGGUGAAAUCCCGGGGCUCAACCUCGGAAUUGCCUUUGAUACUGGGUGUCUUGAGUAUGAGAGAGGUGUGUGGAACUCCGAGUGUAGAGGUGAAAUUCGUAGAUAUUCGGAAGAACACCAGUGGCGAAGGCGACACACUGGCUCAUUACUGACGCUGAGGCUCGAAAGCGUGGGGAGCAAACAGGA